UCACAGUUCCCCUUAACCUUCCAGCACCGGGCAGGAGUCAGUCCGUAUACAUCGUCUUACGACUUCGCACGGACCUGUGUUUUUGGUAAACAGUCGUUUCCCCCUGGACUCUGCGCCCCUCACCGCCACCACACCGCACGGGUGCACGACAGCUCAGGUCCCCCUUAUCCCAAAGUUACGGGGGCAUUUUGCCGAGUUCCUUCACCACGAUUCACUCGAUCGCCUCGGUAUACUCUACCUAUCCACCAGUGUCGGUUUAGGGUACGGGCGGACCCGCCACCUCGCUCACGAAGCUUUUCUCGACAGUACAGGAUCACUCACUCACCCACAACCGUGG
rnacentral:rRNA from 1 species